GGGGAAUCUUCCGCAAUGGGCGAAAGCCUGACGGAGCAACGCCGCGUGAGUGAAGAAAGCCUUCGGGUUGUAAAACUCUGUCUUUAGGGAAGAAAAAAAUGACGGUACCUAAGGAGGAAGCCCCGGCUAACUACGUGCCAGCAGCCGCGGUAAAACGUAGGGGGCGAGCGUUGUCCGGAAUUACUGGGCGUAAAGGGCGUGUAGGCGGCUCGUGAAGUCAGGAGUGAAAGCCCGGGGCUCAACCCCGGGACUGCUUUUGAAACCAGCGGGCUUGAGUGCAGGAGAGGGAAGUGGAAUUCCCAGUGUAGCGGUGAAAUGCGUAGAUAUUGGGAGGAACACCAGUGGCGAAAGCGGCUUCCUGGCCUGUAACUGACGCUGAGGCGCGAAAGCGUGGGGAGCAAACA
rnacentral:rRNA from 2 species